CAGAGGGAAGUUUACCAAAAACAUUAACUUUGGAGGUUAAAGAUCUGCAUUCUCAGUCCUCUGA
rnacentral:tRNA from 1 species